CGCAUCUGUGCAUGCAGCAUAUCAAUAAGCGGAGGAAAAGAAACUAACAAGGAUUCCCCUAGUAACGGCGAGUGAAGCGGGAAGAGCUCAAAUUUGAAAUCUUAAAGGGUUUCCCUUUACGAAUUGUAGUUUAAAGAAGUGUUUUCUGUUGAGGUUUUGGUAAAAGUUCUUUGGAAUAGGGACAUCAUAGAGGGUGAGAAUCCCGUAUUUGACCUUUACUUUCAACUUUGUGAUACACUUUCAAAGAGUCGGAUUGUUUGGGAAUGCAGUCCAAAAUGGGUGGUAAAUUUCAUCUAAAGCUAAAUAUUGGCGAGAGACCGAUAGCGAACAAGUACCGUGAGGGAAAGAUGAAAAGAACUUUGAAAAGAGAGUUACACAGUACGUGAAAUUGUCAAAAGGGAAGCGUUUGACACCAGUGUUGUUUUUCUGAAAAUCGAUUAAAGAACUGUUUAUGCUAAGUUGUUUAGACUUUAUCAGCUAACUGUUUAGUUUUGAGCUUUUCUUUAAUGCACUUUUCAGUUAACAAGUCAACAUCAAUUUCUUUUGCUGUAAAAAAGCUUGAGGAAGGUGGCUUGAGAUUCGUCUUAAGUGUUUAUAGCCUCUUGCCUAUGCAGUCGGAGAGAUUGAGGUCUGCAGCGUAGAUCCUUCGGGGCUAAAUGCAUUUGUGCUAAGUUAUAGCAUUUUAUAGACAACUUGUUGACUAUGAUUUGUCUUGUAGCUUACUCGCUUAUGUUAUUUUACCUACGCUUAGGAUGUUGAGUCAUCACACAUCUCU
rnacentral:rRNA from 1 species